rnacentral:rRNA from 1 species
GAUGAACGCUGGCGGCGUGCUUAACACAUGCAAGUCGAACGGGAAACCUUUUAUUGAAGCUUCUGCAGAUUUAGCUGGUUUCUAGUGGCGGACGGGUGAGUAACGCCUGGUUAACCUGCCUUAUACAGGGGGAUAACAACACGAAAAGAUUGCUAAUACCGCAUAAGCGCAAAGGACCGCACGGUCCGGCGUGAAAAACUCCGGUGGUAUAAGAGGGAUCCGCGUGGGAUUAGCUAGUUGGCAGGGUAACGGCCUAACAAGGCGACGAUCGAUAGCCUGCCUGAGAGGGUGGACGGCCACAUUGGGACUGAGACACGGCCCGGACUCCUACGGGAGGCAGCAGUGGGGAAUAUUGCACAAUGGGGUAAACCCUGAUGCAGCUCCGCCGCGUGAAGGAAGAAGUAUCUCGGUAAGUAAACUUCUAUCAGCAGGGAAGAUAGUGACGGUACCUGACUAAGAAGCCCCGGCUAACUACGUG